rnacentral:tRNA from 1 species
GCCGGGGUGGCGGAACUGGUAGACGCAGCAGACUCAAAAUCUGCCGGGGGUUACCCCCCGUGCCGGUUCGAUUCCGGCUCUCGGCA